CGGAGCCCUAACAUGAGUUUGUCUGUUUAUAAUAGAUGAAAAACGUCAUGUUAUUUCUUAGUGACAUUCUCUUUCCUUGGCUCUCAGAGGACUGACUCUCUAUUUUGACUUGGUCCACAUAAGCGGUUUCCUUGCACGUUGUUUAAAAGAAGUAACUUCCCUGUAGUAAUACAACUCCCAGAAUACCUUUCACCAAAGCAAUUCCUAAAGGGGUGUGGCUUCUGGUGCAAAACUGCUGAAAGUCCCAGAGGUGAAUUACACAAUCAGAUUCUGAGGCAGUGACAGACUUUGUUUUCCUUCAAAUUUCUACUUCCUGAAACCAAGGCUCUUUAUGAUAAACAGUGUAUUUCAGGGAAAUUGUGCUAAAAUUAACCUUUUUCAGAGAUUUGCUGGCCUUAAAAGUGUUUAUCUUCGAGACAAAGUUUUAGUUACUUACAAUCAACCACUGCCAGAAGCAGAUGAUCUUCUUUAUGACGCUUCCUCACACGCCUGAGUCAUUCACCUCACUUCAUCUCAUCACAUAGACGUUUUACUGUCUCACAUCAUCACAAGAAGAACAGUGAGUAGUAUAUAGGCAUAUCUCAUUUUAUUAUGCUUUGGUUUAUUGCGCUUUUCAGAUACUGAGUUUUUUACAAACUGAAGGUUUGUAGCAACCCUGGUUCAAACAAGUCUGUCAGCGCUGUUUUUCCAACAGCAUUUGUUCACAAUUUUGUCUGUCAUGUUUUGGUAAUUCUCUUGAAAGUUUCAAACCUUGUCAUUAUUGUGAUAUUGUCAUGGUGAUCUGUGAUUAGUGAUUACAACUUACCGAAAGCUCAGAUGAUGGUUAGCAUUUUCUAGCAAUAAGGUAUUUUUUUCAUUUUGGUGUGUCAUGUUUUGGUAAUUCUCUUGAAAGUUUCAAACCUUGUCAUUAUUGUGAUGUUGUCAUGGUGAUCUGUGAUUAGUGAUUACAACUUACCGAAAGCUCAGAUGAUGGUUAGCAUUUUCUAGCAAUAAAGUAUUUUUUUCAUUUUGGUGUGUACAUGUUUUUAGGCAUAAUGCUAUUGCACACUUAGUAGACUAAAGUAUAGUAUAAACAUAACUUCUAUAUGCACUGGGAAACCAAAAAGUUCAUUUGACUCGCUUUAUUGCAGUAUUUGCUCUAUUGCAGCAGUCUGGAAACUGAACCUGAAAUACCUUCACAAUAUGCUUCUACAAUAAGAUAUUUUCAGAGAGAGAGACCACAUUCACAUAUGUUUUUAUACAGUAUAUUAUUAUAACUGUUUUAUUUUAUUAUUGUUGUUAUUCU
rnacentral:lncRNA from 1 species